rnacentral:rRNA from 1 species
GAUGAACGCUGGCGGCGUGCCUAAUACAUGCAAGUCGAGCGAACGGACGAGAAGCUUGCUUCUCUGAUGUUAGCGGCGGACGGGUGAGUAACACGUGGAUAACCUACCUAUAAGACUGGGAUAACUUCGGGAAACCGGAGCUAAUACCGGAUAAUAUUUUGAACCGCAUGGUUCAAAAGUGAAAGACGGUCUUGCUGUCACUUAUAGAUGUAUCCGCGCUGCAUUAGCUAGUUGGUAAGGUAACGUCUUACCAAGGCAACGAUGCAUAGCCGACCUGAGAGGGUGAUCGGACACACGGGAACGGAGACACGGUCCAGACUACUACGGGAGGAAGCAGUAGGGAAUCUUCCGCAAUGGGCGAAAGCCUGACGGAGCAACGCCGCGUGAGUGAUGAAGGUCUUCGGAUCGUAAAACUCUGUUAUUAGGGAAGAACAGAUGUGUAAGUAAAUGUGCACAUCAUGACGGUACCUAAUCAGAAAGCAACGGCUAACUACGUG